ACUCAAAGGAAUUGACGGGGGCCCGCACAAGCGGCGGAGCAUGUGGAUUAAUUCGAUGCAACGCGAAGAACCUUACCUGGGUUUGACAUGCACUGGAUCGCCCUAGAGAUAGGGUUUCCCUUGUGGCUGGUGCACAGGUGGUGCAUGGCUGUCGUCAGCUCGUGUCGUGAGAUGUUGGGUUAAGUCCCGCAACGAGCGCAACCCUUGCCCCAUGUUGCCAGCGGUUCGGCCGGGGACUCGUGGGGGACUGCCGGGGUCAACUCGGAGGAAGGUGGGGAUGACGUCAAGUCAUCAUGCCCCUUAUGCCCAGGGCUUCACACAUGCUACAAUGGCCGGUACAGAGGGUGGCGAGACCGUGAGGUGGAGCGAAUCCCAGAAAGCCGGUCUCAGUUCGGAUCGGGGUCUGCAACUCGACCCCGUGAAGUCGGAGUCGCUAGUAAUCGCAGAUCAGCAAUGCUGCGGUGAAUACGUUCCCGGGCCUUGUACACACCGCCCGU
rnacentral:rRNA from 1 species